rnacentral:lncRNA from 1 species
UGCAUGUGAUAUGUUAAGAAGAAACAGUAGGCAUUAUUAUUAUGGGCACAUGAAUAUUUAAAUAAAAAUCUAAAGCUCUGUUUCAACUAAUUUUUGCUCUGGAUAGAAAGUUUACUACCUAAUGGGGACUGGCCCUUCUGAGUGACUGUUGGCAUUGAAAUUGUCCAUCACAAAACAGAGAAGAAUGGGAGCACUUUAGAAAUGUAAAUUUACGGACAUGUUUCCAAGGCUGUGGCGAACUAGAAGACGGUAAAUAAAUAAGAGCUGGUCCAAAAAUACCAACGAAUUUGAAUUGACUUUAAGAAUAAGAGUUUUUCUCUUGCUGGAGCUGGAGGAGGCUGGGAAAACAGCACACAGAGCACUUUAUUAUAGUUACAGCUUGAUCACCUCGACUCUUCUGAAAACCAUGCAAGAGAGUUUACGAGUCCGCAUUCAACAGACGUAAAUACUGAGACCCGAAGAUGAUUCUCGAUCCAGGACCGUUACUACACUUGUCUACAAAGAAAUGUUAAUAUCAAUGUUUCUAUUAAACCCAGAUGUAGCCUCUAAUUUAUAAUAAGCAUUGUAAACCAGUGCUUCUCAAAUGCUAAUGUGCAUACAAAUCCCUGGGGUCUUGAUAACAAGCAGACUGAUCCAGCAGGUCCGAGUGGAGACACUGGUGGGUGGAGACAAGCUCCAGGUGAUGUGAUGCUGCCUGACCAUGGACCUUGGGCAUCAAGGAACUCAACCUGACCUCGGUGGCUUUGGCUGUGUCAGCUCUGACAUUUAUUGGAUUCAGCGUUCUCUGCUGUGGCGUCGUUUUCAUCAUUCCCCUACGUUACAAAGCACUUAGCAAACACAGUGGCUGAAAAAAUGGACUGAGAGUUCUGUGCUUUGGCACUGUUUAUCUCCAUUAACAAAUGGGAAACAGUGCUUUGGAAAAAUGUGGGUUUUUUCUCAUUGUACUCUAAGUCAUCUUCUAAAAGCUAAAUGUAAGUGAUACAUAGGCUCAACAUUUCAGCCUUCAUAGUUUUAAUUCAGAGGCUUACCUGUGGGACUUGAUUGAGUGGCAACACUGGUAUGCAAAGGAAAAUAUCUACAAAGUUAGCAUUGCUUCAUAUCUUCAGUAUCUUUACUUCUUCAUUUGAACACAGAUGUGUGGAAAACUCACAAUUUUUACUUCGCAAAAGUAACCAAUCCGUGUUUUGUUGGUGGUGGGAUUUUUCUUGUUUUUUUAAUUUGGUCUGGUUUUUUGGUUUUUUAAAGUUAUUCACUCUUACCUUUAAGAUAAAUACUUUUCUUGGCUUGUGUCAGAAAAAAAUGACCAACUUUCCAAAGAUGAAUUCCAACCUAAGAACGCAGGCAGCUCUUGACGUCAAAAUCGAGACGUCAAAGAGGAGAGCAGUGUUUGUUUGGAAAAAGAUCUGCCAGUUGACAGUGUCCUGAAAAUCAGCCUCUUACAGUUCCCAAGAGGACUGACAGAAGAGUUUUCAAAGGUCUCCAAAACUGUCUGCUCUUUGUUUGGGGGAAAAAGAGAAAAGAAUGAGAAACAUCACCCCUUUGACACACAUACACACUCAAACACACCUACACUCACUGUGGUGUGAGCGUGUUCUCGUUCUUUGUUUUUGGAAAGUUACCACAUUUUUCAGCAAUGACAGAGAAUAAUGGUGUCUCCUUACCCUUGCACAAACCAUCACGUUAAUGUUUGUGACAGAUUAUUGCACAAAUGACCCCAGUCCUCCACUCCUCCCUAUGUCUCUGGUGGUGCCAUCCCACACUGACUCUGUGUGGGAGGAAUGAGACUUGUUUUGGCCAAUAGGAGAGCAGCAAACUUGAUGCAAGCAGAAGCUUGUAAAAGUAUG